rnacentral:rRNA from 1 species
CCUACGGGAGGCAGCAGUGGGGAAUUUUGGACAAUGGGCGAAAGCCUGAUCCAGCAAUGCCGCGUGCAGGAAGAAGGCCUUCGGGUUGUAAACUGCUUUUGUACGGAACGAAACGGUCCGCUUUAAUACAGUGGGCUAAUGACGGUACCGUAAGAAUAAGCACCGGCUAACUACGUGCCAGCAGCCGCGGUAAUACGUAGGGUGCGAGCGUUAAUCGGAAUUACUGGGCGUAAAGCGUGCGCAGGCGGUUAUAUAAGACAGUUGUGAAAUCCCCGGGCUCAACCUGGGAAUUGCAUCUGUGACUGUAUAGCUAGAGUACGGUAGAGGGGGAUGGAAUUCCGCGUGUAGCAGUGAAAUGCGUAGAUAUGCGGAGGAACACCGAUGGCGAAGGCAAUCCCCUGGACCUGUACUGACGCUCAUGCACGAAAGCGUGGGGAGCAAACAGGAUUAGAUACCCUGGUAGUCCACGCCCUAAACGAUGUCAACUGGUUGUUGGGUGCAUUAGUACUCAGUAACGAAGCUAACGCGUGAAGUUGACCGCCUGGGGAGUACGCGCAAGGUUGAAACUUAANAGAGAGAGNGNGNGAGAGACGACGACGACGACGACGGAGGAGGAGG